CGUGUAGGCGGAGCUGCAAGUCAGAUGUGAAAUCCCCGAGCUUAACUUGGGAAUUGCAUUCGAUACUGGGAAGCUAGAGUAUGGGAGAGGAUGGUAGAAUUCCAGGUGUAGCGGUGAAAUGCGUAGAGAUCUGGAGGAAUACCGAUGGCGAAGGCAGCCAUCUGGCCUAAUACUGACGCUGAGGUACGAAAGCAUGGGGAGCAAACAGGAUUAGAUACCCCUGUA
rnacentral:rRNA from 1 species